rnacentral:rRNA from 1 species
CAGCAGCCGCGGUAAAACGGAGGGUGCAAGCGUUAAUCGGAAUUACUGGGCGUAAAGCGCACGCAGGCGGUCUGACAAGUCAGAUGUGAAAUCCCCGGGCUUAACCUGGGAACUGCAUUUGAAACUGUCAGGCUGGAGUCUUGUAGAGGGGGGUGGAAUUCCAGGUGUAGCGGUGAAAUGCGUAGAGAUCUGGAGGAAUACCGGUGGCGAAGGCGGCCCCCUGGACAAAGACUGACGCUCAGGUGCGAAAGCGUGGGGAGCAAACAGGAUUAGAUACCCGCGUAGUCCCUGUCUCUUAUAC